CCGGAGCUUGCUCCACCGGGAAAAGAGGAGUGGCGAACGGGUGAGUAACACGUGGGUAACCUGCCCAUCAGAAGGGGAUAACACUUGGAAACAGGUGCUAAUACCGUAUAACAAUCGAAACCGCAUGGUUUCGUUUUGAAAGGCGCUUUACGGUGCCGCUGAUGGAUGGACCCGCGGUGCAUUAGCUAGUUGGUGAGGUAACGGCUCACCAAGGCCACGAUGCAUAGCCGACCUGAGAGGGUGAUCGGCCACAUUGGGACUGAGACACGGCCCAAACUCCUACGGGAGGCAGCAGUAGGGAAUCUUCGGCAAUGGACGAAAGUCUGACCGAGCAACGCCGCGUGARUGAAGAAGGUUUUCGGAUCGUAAAACUCUGUUGUUAGAGAAGAACAAGGGUGAGAGUAACUGUUCACCCCUUGACGGUAUCUAACCAGAAAGCCACGGCUAACUACGUGCCAGCAGCCGCGGUAAUACGUAGGUGGCAAGCGUUGUCCGGAUUUAUUGGGCGUAAAGCGAGCGCAGGCGGUUUCUUAAGUCUGAUGUGAAAGCCCCCGGCUCAACCGGGGAGGGUCAUUGGAAACUGGGAGACUUGAGUGCAGAAGAGGAGAGUGGAAUUCCAUGUGUAGCGGUGAAAUGCGUAGAUAUAUGGAGGAACACCAGUGGCGAAGGCGGCUCUCUGGUCUGUAACUGACGCUGAGGCUCGAAAGCGUGGGGAGCAAACAGGAUUAGAUACCCUGGUAGUCCACGCCGUAAACGAUGAGUGCUAAGUGUUGGAGGGUUUCCGCCCUUCAGUGCUGCAGCUAACGCAUUAAGCACUCCGCCUGGGGAGUACGACCGCAAGGUUGAAACUCAAAGGAAUUGACGGGGGCCCGCACAAGCGGUGGAGCAUGUGGUUUAAUUCSAAGCAACGCGAAGAACCUUACCAGGUCUUGACAUCCUUUGACCACUCUAGAGAUAGAGCUUCCCCUUCGGGGGCAAAGUGACAGGUGGUGCAUGGUUGUCGUCAGCUCGUGUCGUGAGAUGUUGGGUUAAGUCCCGCAACGAGCGCAACCCUUAUUGUUAGUUGCCAUCAUUUARUUGGGCACUCUAGCAAGACUGCCGGUGACAAACCGGAGGAARGUUGGGGAUGACGUCAAAUCAUCAUGCCCCUUAUGACCUGGGCUACACACGUGCUACAAUGGGAAGUACAACGAGUCGCGAAGUCGCGAGGCUAAGCUAAUCUCUUAAAGCUUCUCUCAGUUCGGAUUGUAGGCUGCAACUCGCCUACAUGAAGCCGGAAUCGCUAGUAAUCGCGGAUCAGCACGCCGCGGUGAAUACGUUCCCGGGCCUUGUACACACCGCCCGUCACACCA
rnacentral:rRNA from 1 species